GACCAAGGAAAAGGGAUGAUAAAUAUGGAUGAGAAGCUAUAAACCAGAAGAAAUAGAGGAGCAAUGGGGAACAAGUGUAAACACAGUCAAAUCACACCCAAAACCUCGAAUUCAAUCCUCUUCUUGACUCCAUCAUUCACAAUUUUUUUUUUUAUUUUUCUCAUUUUUCUGUAUAUUUUUUUUUUCAUCUUGUCUCUUUUCUGAUCUCUCUUUUCAGAACACAGCUCUAAGAGACAAGAUACACCACAUAUUUACAAAAACAAAAAGAAGAAGAGGAA
rnacentral:lncRNA from 1 species